GAGAAUCAUGCAUGUGAUGUUUCCUGCUAAGUUGAACAAUAAAUAGGAUUCAAUUCUAGCAUCACAUAUUGCAGCCAUAUAUUCUGCAAAGUUAUAACCGUCCUUUUCAACCUUUGUAUCCGUGACCUUCCUCUCACAAAUGGAGCUGUGUGGUGUUCUUCAACAUUCUGAGAUGAUAGCUUAUUUCGACAUCGCAAAAAUUUCAUCCCAGCCCUAUGCAGAGAUCCAACCAAGUUUUGUUGAAGCUCACAGAGAUGAACUCUCCAAGUGUUGGACAGUGAUGAACAGCCAAGGUGUACACCAUGAUGUAAUCUAUAACCAAAUAGAGAUUCAACCACUCGUUAUUAGCGGAUGGCCCUGUAUGCAGUCAUAUUACAACCUACCUUCUGACGUGGUUGUGAGAGUUGGAUAUUAUGGCAACAAUAAUUUUGGAAUUUUAUCAUUCAAGGAGGUGCAAACAAAUGAAGAUUUGCCUCGUUUCCAUAGUCGAAGCCUCAUGAAGCGGGACAUUUGGUUUUUUGAUAUGGAUGUCUUUCCAUUUAGUGUAGAUCGUCCUAAAUUAAAAAUACACGAGGAUUUCGCUUCGUUUCUCGGAGACUAUGGAUAUGGGUUUAUUGUUCUGUGCGGUGACAAUGGAAGGCAUAAGAAGAUGUCGCCGUUAAAUAUUUCAGACCCCCGACGCACAAAAUUGGGAUAUGGCUGGGACGAAUUCUGCACCUCAAACAACUUUAAAUGCGGAGACCGAAUUCGAUUUAGGUUAGACAUUACUUCUGUUGCCAAAACAUGUCACGUGUAUUCACUGCCACAAGUGUAAGAGAGCAAGAUUAUCUAUGCGUUAUUGAACUUGCUAUGGUUAGUUGCAAUAUGUUAAGUUAUAAUUGUUGAGUUAUAAUGUUCAGUUCUACUUGUUGCUGCAUAAGGUAUAUAUUAAGUAAUCAUGAGGACCAGAAUAAUGUUUUGCAUACAUAACUGUUACAACUUAAGAAGUUGUACUCCGACUGACAUAUAACAGGGCCUUCAAAAUAUAUUAGCACACAUAAACCAAAAGUAAUGAAUAUUUUACUGGCAUGAUGAGCAGUCGUGUCCAAAGGUUGCCUGAAGGAUGUAAAUCCGAGCGACGCCGCAGAGUUCAAAGCCUGCACUUCAACUUUGAACAUAUUUACAGACAACAUCUAAGGUUGGCAUAAGCAGAACUAUUGCUUCAGAGUUGAGGUGAUGUUCUUAUAUACCUUAGCUAACAACCAUCUAUAUGUUGUUGAAAGUAUACAAAAAGGUGUUGCAGACAGAACUGUCAAAACCUUAGAUGUUGUAUUCCCACUGGCAUAUAAGAAAAACUCUAUAUAUUAGCAGUCCCAUACAAAAAGUUACGAAUAGGAUACUGCCAUGAUGAGCAGUAGUUUUAAAAUGUUGUCGGAAGGAUGUCUAUCCGAGCGACGCCGCAGAGUUCCAAGCCUGCACGUGAACUUUGAAAAAAUUAAAAGAUAACAAAACACCUCCAACAUAAGCAGAACUAUUGCUUCAUAGUAGAGGUGAUGAAAGUAUAUACCUUAGGUAACAACCAUCUAUAUGUUGUUGAAAACCUCCUUAUACACGACGUUUGUAGUAGUCGACUUACGCUGGUCAUUUUGAUCAUAUAUCAGUAUCUUGAUUCCUUGCUUCGUUGUGACCCUUGACAGUGCGACGUAGAUUUGUCCAUGAGUAAAUACGUCCCUUGGCAAAUAAAGUCCGACUGUAUCCAGCGAUUGUCCCUGAGAUUUAUUGAUCGUCAUUGCAUACGAAACAACUAUUGGGAAUUGACGCCGUUUAAGCUUGAAAGGCCAGGGGGAUUGAGAGGGAGACAUGUCCAUUCUUGGUAUGUAUACCAAGUUACCACAACCCUUACCGGCCAUGAUUUUUGCCUCUAUGACAUGGUUGGCCAUCUUAGUUACCAUUACCCUUGUUCCGUUACACAAACCCUCCGACUGAUCUAUAUUACGCAUAAGCAUAACAGGCGUUCCUACUUUCAGGCUAAUGUGGUGGUUCGGUAAACCCGAAGUAGUUAGUGAACUGAGAAACUCUGGUGUGAGGAUGUCGACUACAUUGGUGUCAUGAAUUUCGGACCGGUCGACAGUGUUUGAGCUGUAGUAUUCCUUGAUCUCACCUAUAAUUCACAAACCUGAUUAAUUUAACUGAAACACAGUGAGUUAAAUUAUAUAAGAAUGGAUUCAGAAGCACUGGGAAUUAAAUGAAAACCUGGCAUUAAAUCAAGGACGUGACGAUUAAUUUGAUCGACAACUUCUAACGUAGAAGCAAGUAUCGCGCGACUUUUGAGGUAGUCGUUACGUUGGUAAUUCUGUAUGAAAUCAGGGUAAGUACUAUUGACAAUGGCAACGAUUGGAUCGCUGUAGUCCAUUAUCAGAAGUUCCGGUGGCAAGUCAAUGUCGGCAAAUCCAUCAUUUGGCUCAGAGACUUUUCCUUCACCAAUUUCCAACAACCACUUAGAGAACUCAGCUAUUUCAGACCUCUCAUGCUCAUUUGGGCCGGAUUGCAGUCGCAUGUUUUGUGUCAAUGUCAGAACUUCAACAUCCCGCCAUAUGUAAGAAGCAUUUAUUGCUGAGUGUACGAUAUCAGAACGACUUCCUCUAGGUACAACGGGCAAAAUCUGUCUGAAAUCACCGCCGAAUACAACCACCUUUCCACCAAAUAUUUCCUUUGAAUUGCUGUACGUACUCAUCACAUCCUUCAAAGUUCGAUCGAGUGCUUCAACAAAGCUGAACCAACUAUGUACUGAGUUAAGUGUAUGGGCACAACCUGCAUUCAUAACUAACUGUCUUUGUUCGUGGAGCAGACCAUCAGCCAGAAGUAUCCAAGACUCUUUCCAAACAUGACCAGGCCUGUUAACAGCGCCUGACAAAAGCAUCACUACGAAAAGCUUGCGGAGAAAAUGUCCGGAUCCCCAUUCACUUGCUUCCUUUAUCGCCCCUAUGUAUUCACGGUCAUCUUCAAGGAAGCCCAUUGCAAAGCAGGCAUCCCGAAAAGUAUCAUACUGUGUGUCGCCAACUCUGCGAAUAUCUUCGUAAGUAGAUGGUCCCUUAACCACGGUCAACAUCAUUCGAAGAUAAAAUAAUUCUCCUGUCGUUGGGGGUACCCAUAUCAAACGGCCAAUGGUGAACCCCUUUUUACGCGGUUUCCAAGUUCUGGCCUUCUUUUCAUAAACAAAUUUAGAGACAAAUUGGCCAUAGGUGAGAGUACGUGCUUCCUCGUACUUGCCGUUAGCAACCAACCAAGCUGUAAACAUUGACUCCGUGACGCUUGCUUUUUCCAGUACAUCUUCCAUUCGUGCGUGAUCGGGGUAGUAAACCGCUUUUUCUCCCACUAAAUGAUAAUACAUGCGUUCCACCGCCGGUCUCCUUCCAUGAAUUUUGUAUGAAUAUAUCCUCCAACAUCCCUCACAUGGGGAGACAUACCUACAAUCCAAAUAUUGUUUUAUCUCAUCAAUUGGAUCUUUGUCACGACUGGCCCCCGAGUUUGUAGUUAUUGUUGCUGUGAUUCUAUCGAAACCCUUAUGAAUAUACUUGAAGAGAUAUUUGAUUGAUGUACUUUGGUUGCACCACUCCAUGUUAAUAUGUGCAUGGUAUUUCAAAAGGAACCUUACGUUGUACGGUACCACAUGUCGGUUGUCUAAAGAGAUUCCAUUUUUUUGAAUGACAUGGGUAUGUGAACGUCUUCUAUAGAGGGGAUAGCCCUCCGCGUCAACAACAGUGUGUUCAAUGAACUUCUUGGGGAAGAAUUUAGUACAUUUCCUGUUUUUCAUACACUGUGAAUUCAUGCGGGAUGGACCACACGGGCCGUGCAUCAUGUGGGCCGACACCAGUUUGUACAGGGUUGGUUCUAACACCGGGUCCGGAAUUUCAGCACAGAUGAUAUUAUCUAUAUCAGAAGGGGUUGGGUAUUUGCUCUGAGGGUGCAAAAAAACUAAUAUGUGAGCAUGUGGCAAUCCCCGUUUUUGAAAUUCAAUCGUGUACAUGACUGCAACACAAAAGCACAUGUUAAAACAAAAUACACUGUCAUGUAAAAAAGACAAACAACAUUGACAUACACAAUAUUGAGAAAAGUCCAAAACUAUACAUGCAAUAACCUUCCCAAGAACAUGGCGCUUUGUUAUAUCAUCCAUGAGCUCAUCAAAUUUUAUUUUGAAUACUUUAGUAAUAAGAUCAGGUCUAUCAUGUGGCUUUAAGUUAGUCCCGGCAAGGGCACGUUGUAUUUCCGGCCAAGCAGGAUUGCAAGUAAACGUCACAAACAAAUCGGGGAACCCUAACUUACUUGAAAUGGCCAUACCAUCAAAAUAGAGUUGAUCCAUGUACCGCUUGCUCCCAACAAAAGUAGAUGGCAAAACAACUCUCUUUCCUUGCUUUGGUGCCGCAUUAGUCUCCGUGUCGUUGCAUUGAUCCUUCAAGCUGUUAUACUUCCCAACACGUAACUUUGAUUGAUUGUUCCUUAACCAAUUGAGACGCUCAGACUCCAUCAUUGCAAAUCCAUCCACUAAAAACUGUUGAAAAAGUCUCCUUGAAUGAAGUAACGUUUUUGCCUCACAGUUGCGAUCUUGUAGCCGGAAAGCUAGCCAAUCCAUGAUCGAUUGACGAUUUUUCCGCGUAACCUCCUGCUCGUGCUCAAAUCUUUGAAGUAUAUUUUUCCUAUAUCCAUCCUCUCCAUAAACAAAAAUGAGAGGGUAUUGGUAUGCCAAGUAAGCUGGAUGAAAUUCGUUAAUCUGUUGCAAAUGCCCAUUGCGGGCGUGGAUGAUGAUGUCUCGCGUUGUAUCAGGAUCAAUAUCUCCCACAAUAAGAGCAGCAACUUCUGAUACAGUUGGUGUGUUGUAGACACGGCCAUCCUGGGGACGAUCACAGAUUAGCCGUAUCUUCAAAUCUAAGAAAGGGUUUCCUCUCAAAAGAUCCCUCGCCAUUCGAAAUGCCUUUGCAUGUGGGUUGCAGUCGUCCAACAUAUCCUUCAACUUACCAACGACUUCCCUAUUGACCACAUCACUGUCACUGCACAUCAUUCGAAAGUCGUUGCACAUCAUUAGAAAGUCGUGAUAAUUGAGUUUGCGUCACAAUUACGAUGGUGAUAUAUUAAGUGCUGAUAUGUACAAUUACCUGAAACAUUUUAUUCGGUUAUCAAUUUCAUUGUCCGUGUCAAAAAUAUAAAGCUGAGCAUACUGCGGAGUCUGGCCAUCAUCCGGUAGCAACGUCCCUAUUCGAUGACAUGUUUGACCAUGCAAGCGUAAUGUAGGAGGCCCUCUCCCAUCAGCAACGGUUUUGUCAAAUUUCAUUCCUGGAGACGUGAAGGAAAACAUGGCGUUGUAAACACGAAGGUUGCUUUGGUAGUUUUUGCUUUCUUCACUGGCACUGCUAUGUAGGAGGUGUUGCAGCAGUGGCGGGGGAUUAGUUAGUAACGGCAGCACAACUUUUCCGCUCCUACAGCACCGGCUGAAUUUAGGAACAGUGGUAUGUCGUGAUUUCCCCUUCCGUUCCUGAUACCACAUAGUGGCAUGACAAAACUGACAUUCCCAAACUCUAUCUCCUAUGUCAGAGUAUUCUGCAUUGAAUGGUAAAUGGAUUUUACAAACUAAUAUAUAAAACUUUAAAUAGAUUAAAAAUGUUAGAAGGUAAGCAUACGUUGUAGAUGGGCAUCUACGGCCUCUUCGUUAUCGACUCCAUCGUAAUUAUCAUCAGAAUUGUCUCCCAAGUUGAGACCAUCAUCGGAGCUAGAGUUUGCGUCAUCUGUUGCUUGAGCUGCGGUGACAGCAAUUGGUGUAACAUCGUCCACACGUGGAUUAGACGUAGAAGCCACGCAUGUGUUAGGAACCUGGAGAACUGUUUGGUUAAAUUCUGCUAGAAGGUUAUUGGUAGCAUGAAGAUUAAGCCUUUGUCUUUUUUGCGCUACUCCACCUCUUACAUGUCUAUUGGAAGGGGCUGUGUUAGUCAGGUUAGAUAGGUUUUCAGAUAGAGGUCGUCGAUUACACGGAGACAACGUCAUAUUCGUGGAACUAACGUCCUUUCCGAACAAUGGUAUAUUUUCUUUGUUAUGUUGAUGUGGGGCAUUCUUCCGGUUAAACAAAAUCAUCCUCCUCCUCUUUCUAGCCAUUGCAUGAGCAGUUGAAUGGAGCAAGGGUUGACAAUGAAUAGAAACAGGUGUUUCAUUUGAUUGGAGGGUCCCACCCAUGGAACAACGACCAUUUGUAGAAUGGGAUACAAUUUGGAUGGGGGAGGUAAUUUGUUGUUGUUCAACAGUAGGUGUACGUGGUAGAUUAUGACGACGUGCGCCUCUCCUUUGAGCCAAAAUAAACCGUCUCCGACGUCUGGCAAUAGCAGCCUUGUUACUUGGAUUAGAAGUAUAUCCGUACUCCAUGGGUUAAUGAAGACUUAGAUGGCAUAUAUCAGUUUAGAUGUGCAAACAGAGUUUAGUGUAUCUUAAGAUGGUAAUGGUACACUGAAUGUAGUAUCAGUCUGCUUUUUACUAUCAGUGGCUAAACUGAUAGUUUUUUUCAAAUUGGGUGGUAUCAAAUAUUAGAGGGAGUUUUGAAUUCUUUUCGUUUUCCCGCGAACUGGCUGAGUAGAUUUGAAAUUUUCCAUCAGAACUAAAAGUCAUAAUAUUAUUAUAAAGAAGUGCUGUCUGUCCAUGGGAUGGGUUUGAUGGGUUUUCAGUUUGGCAUGUAGAGUGUAGGAAAACGUAGCCUGGCAUGUAGAGUGUAGGAAAACGUGUAUACACAGAUGAUUGGACAGCUGAAACAAUAGAUUGUAGGUGUUACUUUUAAAAAUCCUGCAGAAGAAGUUUGCUCAUAUCUACCUUGCACGUGAUUGUAUUUUGGUAGAUUAGUUAUAAAAUAUAUAAUUAAAAGUAAAUAAACAUUAUGCCUUGGCAGUAGGAUUUGAAGUCGUUAUAGGGAUAAGGUGUAUUUGAAAAGGUUUAUUUAAAAAGGUUUUUCUGAAAAGUUCUUAGCAAAACAUAUACUCAAGGCAAUUUGAUGUCAAACAGGUUUCAGCAGAUAGGUGUAGUUGGAGGUUGUGUUGAGGAGUAGUGAGAUAGUUAAUUGAAAUACUUUAGGAUGUCGUUUUGUAGGUAGGUAUCAUUAGGAGUGCAUCAUUUUUAUUUAAAAAUUAAUGAAUCAUAAAUUUAGAAGUCUGGUUUUGGAAGAAAGCAAAUUAGUACAUAGUAAUGAAAUGUCAUUGCAUUGUCGAGGUUGAUUACUGUAUAACCAAAUAUUGCUGAAAUCUGUUUCAACUCUAUGUUAUAUAUUAUGAAAGCAGAUGGGAAUUCACAAACCAAAAGUUAUAACAGGACAUCAAAUAAUAAUGUUCCAACCGUGCUUUCUGACAUCAAGUGCGCACUAAAGAUUCUUAUAAAUUUUGAAAUAGUUAUAAGGUAGCAACAAAGAUAACAAAGAUAGUAGGAUAAUCCCAACCAACAAACAGCUGCUCAAUAGAGGCACACAACACAGUAUCAAAAUGGUACAUGCCAACACAAAAAGUUUUAGCUAAGCAGGAGUACAACUAUUUGCUCAUUUCCAACUUGAUGAUCUUUUUAAGUUUUGUGGAAGAAAGUUCUCCAUCACACACGGUCGUCGAUUCGCUUGACCCAUCAUGAUUUUGCCUUUUAGCAGUUGGUGUUUGCGGAUCGGGGUUACGUUUGGAUGUUAUCUCCAGAUCCUGCAAUCACACAAUAUGAAGAAACAGUUAGAAAUUUUGCACUAUUUUGUGAAUGUUUUGAAUACAUCAGUUGCGUAUGUCCUUCCUCAUACCGUAAGAACUUCACAAUCAUCGGCAGCAGCGGUGUCAGCUUCAUCAACGCUCUCUUUUAUCUGAAAAACGUUAACACACAUGCUCGUAUCAUAAUUAUAAAAACCGAUAAGGAAUAUACACAUAAAUUCGGCAUUGAAAUACAAAAUUUGUGGUCAUGAGACGACCUGCACUGGCAAUUUUAUUUCGGAAGGUUCAGAUCUCGUGAGGUUGGCCUAAUACAGAAAAAACACAUUCAGCAUUACAGGAGGAGGAUGUAAAACAAAAGAAGCUUCAGUUGUGAUUAAGUGUCACCUGUGUAGGCUCCCAAGGAGCACCGAAUUGUUUCACAAACGGCUUGUCAUCUACAAACAUAAUAACAGAGCAGCUGUCCCAACUGGGUUGCCACCUAACUCUUAAAGCCAGAUCCAAUUCCAACAUGGCAUCAAGCCGUAAGGGAAAAUCCAAUGGAUCCGUGAUACCGGCCUAUAACACAAAGCGACUGAGUUAGGGAUGGAUCCACAUACAACACAACGUUUCAUCAAUUAGUUGAUAUAUUUUCCAACAUGAAUAACCUGUAUCAUCGUGUCCCGCAUUUGGGCAGCUGAAAUGCCGAGGAUCUGUCUGCAUUCUCUGUCCCAAAAAAUAAACUUGCAAGAGGUCUCAAGGUGGAACCCUUCCACUUCAAUCUUAUACCUGUCGUUGGAAUCAUGUUACAUGUAAAAAAAUAAUACUACGUACAAAUGGCGUAUAUUUCGAAUAAAAACAGGUGCACACAUUCAUACUUAUAUAUUUCUGUUUCAGUCAAAUGGUGAUUAUCACAUUCGUACGGGGGUCUUUCACCGCGUGCCGUUUUGGUACAUGCAUGACAGCACCGGUAGUACCAUCCAUUGGACGAAGCGAUAAUUUUCCUUGUCUUUGCAACCGUAGCACAGAAUUUCUCCUGCUCCAACACACAAUCAUGGACCAGUAUUAAUCAUAUGGUUUACUUUGGCAUCAAAUUUAUCAGUAAACGUAUUAGUAAGUAAACCUCGCGCAGUUGCUUAAUCUCACUCAAUGGUAGAGCAACAGCUUUAUUAAGCAACUUCUGAGUGUCAGUCUGUUUGACGUUAUCAGCACCCGAGCUGCGGGAGUAUUGCUGAGAGUGGGAGCUGAGUUGGGUUGAAACAGUACGCAAAGUUGCCUCUGAGAAACUGCAUGUAGAGAUAAGAUAACAUAAAUAACCAAGAAUGACAUAUAAUGAAUGUUUUACAAAAAAUGUCAUGGAAGAUACCUAUUAAUGAAGUCCUUAACUAAAGGCAGAUCUGGAUUGAUUUGUAGUUUUGUAACAUGGAACGUAUUUGUAACUGAUAGCGGGUAUUGGCCUACAUUAAAAAGAAACGUAUUCAAAAUAUUUUACAAACAUUACCGAUACACAUUAACAACAAUACAUCAUACCCUGUUGUUUAACUUUUGCAUAGUUAAGCAUCACCACUGUUGGUCCAGUUGUCGUGGCAUUUUCCUCGACAAACUUGAAAAACUGUUUGGCAUAGUCCUCCCAUAGGGUGCAGUUCAUUGUGUUGUUGCUGGUAAAACGACAACAUUUAUAGUUAGAAGGCAAGAAUUAGAAGCAUAAGAAAAUCAGUAGAAAUUCAGAAGAAAAUUGAGACUACACACGCUGCAUCCCUCAGUACGAAAUUGACUUGGCAUUUUUUUCCACCGCUUCCAGUUUGUUGAUAUCCAAUAGCAUCGAUCACGCCAAUAACAUCUAAGGGCAUAAUGAAAACAGCAAACAUCAUAAAAUGAACAACACCAUAUAAGCAAAAGUAUAGACAACACAAAAUGUAGAGUUACCGAUCAACAGGUCCUUUUUAAAGUUGCCGGUCAUAAUAUCAGGGAAACUGGUGAAUGUGCGCUGUAUGUGGGGUAUUUCAUGUUUGUUGACGUCGUUCACAGAAGUUCCUCCAGUGAACUUCACCAAGAACUUGUGAGUAGUUGGUUUAAAAACCAAGUUGUUUGGCAGAACUGCAAAGUUAGAUACAGUGUACGUGUGGUCCACCUCAAAUUUGUCAUUGUAAGCGGCCAUGCACGUAGUUGGAACAACUACGUGAAUAUCAGACCCCUGUCAAAUGCAAAAGACCAAAAACUUGUUAAUCCUAAAUAUGUCAACACAAAGGAAAACACGUUUCAAAGACAAACAAUAUAUCAACAACCCAAAAUAAUGAAACGGAGAUCAACAACAAAAACAUGGAAAAAAAUAUAAACAACCAUUGUUCAAAACCCUAAAUCCAUACCCAUUAACAACAUUUUUUAACAACAUCAAACAUCAGAUUAGGGUUUAUUCUAAGAAACGGAAACUUCAGUGGGACUAACAGCAUUCGGACAACAACACAACAAACGACAAACGACACACCUAUAAGACUUAACAUAAACAUUCAGUUACCUCAUUGUCUUGAAAAAUCAUCUCAAAGUGCUCUUUGUUGUUGGAUACCACCGUCCAUUUGUGGACAACUCUCACCGCCACUUUCCAAAGUUCUUUGGUGUCGUUGAUGUCCACCACCUUCUCCAUCGGUCGAGCCAUCGUUGAAGAAGUAGAACUAAACGUUACAAAACGGUAAACGGAGGGAGGAAGGUGUACUAUGAAGAUAGCAGAGAAAUGAGGAGGGAAGAAGAUGGAAGAAGAAGAUAUAUUAAGUCAAGACAGAGUAAGAUAGGAAACUGGUGGAAAAGAGGAAGCUGGUAUAAUUAGACAGAUUAGACAUAUUAGGAAAAGUGAACAGUAUAUUGGGGUUCCAAUAAAGAUAUAUUAGAUUUUACACCUUAUGCCUUUGCAUGCACAAUAUAAAAUGAGGAACCAAAUAAAGGAACCCGUGAAGAAGUGGCAAGUUAGAAGCAUUGUGAAGUGGAGGAAGCAAGGCUCAUCAAAGCAGCUAUCCACGUGGAGCAGCAAUAGAACAAAGGGGCAAAUAGGUACUUUCAACAACAAUUAUCUUUCUUAUAUUGUAGAUAAAUGUUAUGAAACGACUUUCCAUCUAAUUCUUUAUGCAUUGAACUAUAACAAAAACUCUUUGAUUCAUUUGGGUACAUGGCAAUAUUUUUAACACUAGAUAUUCAUAUGGUCAUGGUCAUGACAACCAAAGCUUUAAAUAUUGGUGAUAGAAUUGUUUGAUAUAGAUUGAUGCUUAUGAUUUUGAGAUUCUGGCUACGUGCAUUCAAUGCAAUUGAUAAUGAUUAGAUAAAUAAGUGAUAAAUUAUGUGGAUAAAUUGAUAGCAUUAUAAUAAAAAUAA